AGAGUUUGAUCAUGGCUCAGAUUGAACGCUGGCGGUAUGCUUAACACAUGCAAGUCGAACGGUAACAGGCCUUCGGGCGCUGACGAGUGGCGGACGGGUGAGUAACGCGUAGGAAUCUGCCUCAUAGUGGGGGACAACGUGGGGAAACUCACGCUAAUACCGCAUACGCCCUACGGGGGAAAGGAGGGGAUCUUCGGACCUUUCGCUAUGAGAUGAGCCUGCGUUAGAUUAGCUAGUUGGUAGGGUAAAGGCCUACCAAGGCGACGAUCUAUAGCUGGUCUGAGAGGACGAUCAGCCACACUGGGACUGAGACACGGCCCAGACUCCUACGGGAGGCAGCAGUGGGGAAUAUUGGACAAUGGGCGAAAGCCUGAUCCAGCAAUACCGCGUGUGUGAAGAAGGCCUUAGGGUUGUAAAGCACUUUCAAUUGGGAGGAAAACCUGCCGGCCAAUACCCGGUAGCUUGACAUUACCUUUAGAAGAAGCACCGGCUAACUCCGUGCCAGCAGCCGCGGUAAUACGGAGGGUGCGAGCGUUAAUCGGAAUUACUGGGCGUAAAGCGUGCGUAGGCGGUUCGUUAAGUCAGGUGUGAAAGCCCUGGGCUCAACCUGGGAACUGCAUUUGAAACUGGCGGACUAGAGUUUAGUAGAGGGGAGUGGAAUUUCAGGUGUAGCGGUGAAAUGCGUAGAUAUCUGAAGGAACACCAGUGGCGAAGGCGACUCCCUGGACUAGAACUGACGCUGAGGUACGAAAGCGUGGGUAGCAAACAGGAUUAGAUACCC
rnacentral:rRNA from 1 species